GUGUGUGUGUGUGUGUGUGUGUGUGUGUGUGUGUGUGUGUGUGUGCACGUUUUAGGGGAUGGGAAUGAGUGUGUUUCUGGAGUGAAGGUAACAAAUGCUGGGGGCAGUGCCUGCCCGGGCAGGUUUUUUUUUUCCUUCUUCUCAUUUCACCCCCCUUUUCGUGUUGCAGGGCAGAGAACAGAGAGGAAAUUCAAACCAAAAUAACCUCUGUGCCCUUGCCUGAGAAUUGCCCCCCCCCCCCCUGCAGUUAUCCCCUUCGCUCUGAGGGAAAGGUCAUGCUAAGGCACUUGGGUGGAGUAGAGGGGCUGGGGUUGCAAGGAGCCUCAGUUCCCCCCCCACUCAAUAUCUUACCCCGAGGCAUGGAUAGAUGGGACAAUACCUCCGUCAGCUCCUUUAUGUACUCGAUUACGUCUCUUGUGAUCACACUGUAAAGUGUAAUAGUAUCUUUAUUUUUGGUGUCAGACUUAAUUAAGUUAGCUGUGAUUUUCGACACUGACCUGUGUGUGCUUAGUGGGGAGCUUUAAUGUCCUUUGGGUGCAUCCUCCUUUAACCUUUUCUCAUCCUCCUUUUAUUUAUUUAUUUAUUUAUUUAUUUAUUUAUUUAUUUAUUUAUUUAUUUAUUUAUUUAUUUAUUUCAUCAGAAUGUUUCUUCCUGGUUUGCAGCGGGUGUUUUGUGCUGACAGAGCCUCACGCAGGAGCGGAGCGGGAGUUGUUGUGCGAGAGGAAUCUGACCUGAUGUCACACACUGUCAUAGGAGCUGAAGGCCUCUGGGUGUUUUUGUCAGGCAGCGGAGCCAUCUGAUUGGUCUGGUUUGUGCUCGGAGAGGACGGGGUCGCGCCCUCGGGAGCCCGAGGUCAAAGAACCGGAGCUCUCCCAGAGUAAGGCUGGAGCUGCCGCCACCGGAGCUGGAGGAGGUGGGAGCAGCGGCGGGAACCACCUGCAGUGCCUGUCCGUCCACUGCACCGAUGAGCUGGGGGACAGUAAAGGCCGAGGGGGACCCGUCUCCUCUUGGCGCUCGCUCCAUUCUGACAUCUCGAAUCGUUUUGGGACGUUUGUCGCAGCUCUGACUUGAACAAAAACAAAAGGGAAUAGAAAAAAACUGAAGAAGAAACAGGUCUGGAGAAAGAAGUAUGGAGAAUUAGAAAACCAGAAAAACAACCUCAGAGACUUAUU